rnacentral:tRNA from 1 species
GGUUGUGGCUCAGUGGCAGAGCGCUUGCCUUGCACAUGUGAGAUACUGGGUUCAAUCCUCAACACCA